UGAGGACUCAGCUUUAAUUAAUGACCAGAUGUGGGUUAUCAUCAGUCUAGUAACACAGUUUUCUUCUUUGUUCUGAUAAAUUAGGUCAAUCAAUGUCAACGACGAUCAUCAUCAAGCUGACUCUAUUCAUCCUGAUUUCUCUGCUUGUCCUGAUUAUUUCUUUAAGAACACUGAGAACUAUGAAAAUGAACAGAAAACUAACUGAACCAAUAGAAAUGGAGGUGAGAAGGACUAGUGAGGUCACAUAGUGAAUAUUCAUUGAUCUGAAUUUAACCAAUCAGCUCAGGAUUACAUGAUGACAUGUUUCUGUUUUUGGUUCAUUGUUGUUAUUCAGGUACUGUAAAUGCAUAUUUUAGAAAAAACAGCAGGUUUUAAACAAAACUAUGAAUGUGCAGUGCUGGAUUUCAACAAAAUAAAAAGUAGAAACAGGCAAACAUAAAAUCAACAAACAACGAACCAAAUACUGUUUGUACAUAUUGAGUCUCUGAGUUAUAAAGACUGCAGGUAGUGAGAAGAAUUGUAAACUGUUAUGAAAUGUUAAAGAAUCACAACAAUACCAGCUUGUGCUGCAUAAAGAAGCUGAAAGGUCAGAGGUCAGCCCUCUGUCCUUCAGACUAUUUGGAUGCAGCUGCUUCAGUUCACGUCCAGCAGAGGUCACAGAGAAGAUUCACCUGGAACCAGUCAAGGUCAACCAUGGAGGAGUCAUGAACCCAGUUUACCACGACCCGUAACCAAGGAGACGGUUGGAGUGAAACCAGAAGAAGCAGAGAGGAAGUCCAUAUAAGGUUGUAACAGAGCGCAGCAUCAACACCUGCAGAGACUGUACUCUCCUACUGUAUUUUAAUAUCUUCAUAUCUAAUCCCUAAUUAUAUGUUGGUCAUGUUUAUCUGCUCAUAUUAAAGCUUAGAACGUUGAUAAAAAUAUGGUUUUGUUGGUUGUUGCUUUAAUUAAAGUUUGUUUUGAAGUGUU